rnacentral:tRNA from 1 species
GGAGAGAUGGCUCAGUGGUUAAGAGCACUGACUGCUCUUCUACAGGUCCUGAGUUCAAAUCCCAGCAACCACA